rnacentral:tRNA from 1 species
GAUCCAUUAGCUCAUCUGGAUAGAGCCCCCGCCUCCUAAGCGGAAGAGAUGCGUUCGAGUCGCGUAUGGAUCA